GGAGAGAUGGCAGAGUGGUCGAAUGCACUGGUCUUGAAAACCAGCGUACCGAGAGGUACCGGGGGUUCGAAUCCCUCUCUCUCCGCAA
rnacentral:tRNA from 2 species